AGGUAGCAGCACCAAGGAACCCAGAGAAAGCAAGUGUCCCAGCUCACAGAAGCUCCAGCGGAUCAUCAAUUUCCUUUCGGAGAAUGGAAUAUGCAUGUGGAUUCCAUAUGAGGGUAGAAGAGACUCCAAAUUCACUCAACCGGGCAUAAAAAGCAAGAUUGCUUGUAUACCUUUUUCAGUUUGAAACGACAAAUUCUCAUCGACCAUUCCCUCCUCAUUCGGAGAAGGUGCAUCCUCAGAAGAGCCCCCCCCUCCCCCAUAGGAACCCCCUGCGGUCAGCAGUGACCUCUGCCUGGUCAGAGAUAGGACUACUGGGUCAGGGUGUUGGCACGUGUCCUGAAGACAAGCAAGGAAGACACAAAAGUGACCU